rnacentral:rRNA from 1 species
AUGUCCGGGUCUAGUUCGAGGGGGCGGCUGUCGCCGGCUUCAGGUGGUGGAGACUCUGAGCCGCGGUCUGCGGGGAGCAGGACACGAUCUGUGUCUGCUACACGGGGUCGGAAGGCGUCACCGAGGCCUGGGAGGGAUGUCGCAUCAGCAACAGCGACAGUGGAGGAGAAGAAGCCUGCUGCUGUGCCUACAUUGCUCCCUUCGCUCAGCGUGCCGGCAGGGAUGCGCCGGCAGGAGCUGCUACUGCGCUCAGGGUUCUCUCUUGACGCCUCAUGCUCAUCAGACGCUUCGACAGACUCAUUCUGCAGCCGGGCAUCCACUGGGCGGAUUGGGAGGCCGGUGUUUGGGCCGAGGAAGAAGAAGACCGUCUCCCAGGCUGAUCAUAAGGUCUCUGCCAUGCUGGAAAGGGAGGCUGGAUCUGCUUCUCCAAGUGAUGCUUCUGGUCUGAAGAGGAGGUGUGCUUGGGUUACUGCUAAUACCGAUCCAUGUUAUGUUGCAUUUCAUGAUGAAGAAUGGGGAGUUCCAGUUCAUGACGACAAGAAGUUGUUUGAGUUACUGGUGCUCUCGGGUUCACUGGCCGAACUUACAUGGCCAACAAUUUUGAACAAGAGAUCUAUAUUCAGGGAGGUUUUCAUGGAUUUUGACCCUGCAUCGGUCUCUAAAUUAAGCGAGAGGAAGAUUAUUGCACCUGGAAGUCCUAGCAGCUCCUUGUUAUCUGAACAGAAAUUGCGCGGUGUUAUUGAGAAUGCACGACAAAUACUAAAGGUUAUAGAGGAGUUUGGGUCAUUUGAUAAGUACUGCUGGAGCUUUGUGAACCAUAGACCUAUAUUGAGCACAUUCAGGUAUCCCCGUCAGGUUCCUGUCAAGACAUCUAAAGCGGACGCGAUAAGCAAAGAUUUGGUCCGAAGGGGUUUCCGCAGCGUAGGCCCAACAGUCGUGUACACUUUCAUGCAAGUCUCCGGCAUGACCAACGACCACCUCGUCUCCUGCUACCGGUUUGCUGAAUGCGCUGCAGCCGCAACCGGUGCUAAGCCUACUACCGAAUCUGGCAGCGAAGCAAAUUCAGGCGCCAGCAAUCACGCCGCGGAGCAAAAGGCGAACGGGGCCGCUAACGGACUAGCCGUUGACAUCGAGCUGUCCAGAACGAUAGACGAGCUCAGCAUCUCGUAG